GAGUAGCUGGGAUUACAAGCACCCGCCACCAUGCCCGGCUAAUUUUUAUAUUUUUAGCAGAGGCGGGAUUUCUCCAUGUAGCCCAGGCCGGUCUCGAACUCCUGACCUCAAGUGAUCCACCCACCUCAGCCUCCCAAAGUGCUGGGAUUACAGGUGUGAGCCACCAUGCCCCGCCAGCCAUCAGAGUUUUAUAGCAAGAAUUUUUACCUUUGUCCUUAGUGCAAUGGGAAAUCCUUGAAACGCUAUUAUUGCCUUCCUCUGCAAGGAAAGGUUAUUUUGGUGAGCAGUGGAUAGAGGAAAUGCAGAGGGAGCCACUAAAGGGUUCUGGUGAGAUCUGGAGCCCUGCUGGGAUAAUCUGACCAGAGAAAGCAAAGAUUCCAGAGAGCUAGGCACACUUGCCCUACCUCCAGCUGCACACAGCUGGUUCCAGCUUUGUCCUGACCUUCAGUCUGGCAUACAGGGUAGACCCACUGGUACCUGGUACCUCACUCUGGGGGUGAGGUGGCCACCCACCUAGGUCUGGGUCCUGUAGCAGUUUGGCAGCAACAUCUGGGUGAUAAGAGAAGGCGAUUUGACCUACUCCCAGGGACAAGAAGCUUUGACUCUUCAAGAUCAUAAAGUCUUCCCUCCUGGCCUUGGGUCCUCCUGUUGCGGGAGAGGUGAGGUGGGGUGAGGGUCCUCCGGGAGGGCAGGCUUGGCAGAGCCCAGCACCAUCUCAGCAGACACUGCUCUUCUCCUACUCUCAGCACCUCCAAGGCAGUGAGUGGCUUUCUCUUGUCUAGAGGACAAAAUCCGUUCCUCACCUGGACACAAUGAACCUGUCUGUGGGAUUUAGGGAGCAUCAAGGAGGGAAUUUAGUUUCCGCAGACUUCAAGGAAGACUUUCUGGAGGAGGUGAUGCCUGAGAGCUAUCCAGGAGAGAAGAGUGAAAAAAUGUUAAGCAGUGGAAAAACAUGAACCAAACUGUGGCUGCAUCUUCCCAUAGGGCAACAGGGACUUAGCGCGUGCAAUCAAGGAUCUCCAGAUGGGGAUAACCCAGGUGUGCCCAACCUAAUCUCAGUGUCCUUGGAAGAGGGAUGCAGAAGGAGUCAGAAUCAGAGAAGAAGGUGACACGAUGAAGGAAUCCGAAAUUAGAGUGAUGCUCUUUGAAGAUGGAGGAAGGGACCACAAGCUGAGAAAUAGAGGUGGCCACUAGACACUGAAAAAGGCAAGGAAGUGGAUUCUCCCCUGGAGCCUCCAGAAGGAACCAGCUCUGCCGACACCUUGACAUUAGCCCAUUGAGACUGAUUUAAGGGCUGCUGGCCUCCAGAAUUGUAAGAGAAUAAACGUGUGUUGUUUAAGGCCCUUG
rnacentral:lncRNA from 1 species